rnacentral:lncRNA from 1 species
GUGCAUUCUGACUUCCCUGUCAGGGUGAGCACAAGGAUGCCCCUGUGCCCCUGUGCUCCUUGGAAGCUGUGCUCCUUGGGAUGGCCAGUAAGAACAGAGCUGCUUAUAAAUGUGACUGUGACUGAUAAAAGGCAUGUCACUGGACUGAACCUGGAUUUGAGAAUCUUCAACUCAACUGUUCCUUGGCCAGAUCAUAAAAAUAGUCACAACUACUCCAAAGUCACUCCAUCAGGGGAGAAAUGCAGAGCAGGGAAAAGAAUGUGAGAGAAGAAAACAAUAGUCCUAACCAAAUGGAAUAAAAUGAAUGACUUCAGCUAACUUUACCACACUACAUGAGCAUAUGAACACACUGAACAGGAACCUGAACUAGUGAGGGGGCAUUUGUACCGUGCCACCUUCCCCAUGACUGUGACAAAGUUCUAACUUAUCGGAUUCCACUGUUGCUUAAAUGUGUAAAAAUGUUCACAUAAAUUAGCAACCAUGUCCCUAGUAACGGGUAACAGUGACAAAUGAAAGGAGAUUCUGUUGUAUGGCCAGAAUAGUGAAUCAGACCUAUGUCAUCAAAAUGAUUUUAUGAACAGCUUCCAUUAGCUCAGAUUGGAAGAGCCUUUCCUUCUCUUGGCUCUGAAAUAGUAUUUUCAGCUAGUCAGAUUGAUUUCCAUCUGUCUUUCUGCCUCUCCACCCAAACCAGUCCUGUGACUAUGCUAUUAAACUCUGCACGUUGUUUCAUUUCAUCCAAUUUUAAGCCUAGUCUCCUUUGAUUCCCUCUUCUGUAACUCCUCAGGACAAGACGCUCUGGUGGGACACAUUCCAGUUCAGCCUCUACAUAACAAUGCUUUAUUGCUGCACUCUCUCUUUCUAGAAGCAUCUGUGACGGCAAAGCUCAGGGAAGGGGCUUGAAAGGGAGAUUCUGAAAUCCUUGGGAAAGUCCAAAAGGGCAUGAGGCCUCACAGCGCACUUCAAUGGUGACCAUGUCCAGAGAUUAGUGAGUCACGAGCUAGGCAUGCUGAGGUUAAAACGGACAGAGGCCACAAAAGGAAGCUGGCGCAGACACAAGAAUUCUUGGCUGCCAAGCCAGAACAACUGUGCAAAACUAACUGCACUUCACAGAUUUUUCUUGACUGUCCUCUAUGUGUGAGGAACUUGCAUUUCCAUUCAGCUCCUGUUGUCAAGGGGCAAAAACCCAAGGUGUCGAUUAGGAACAGGGACUGUGAGCUGCAGGAGGGUCCCAGGCUGGCAAAGCUGACCUUGAUAUCUUCACCCUCAGGAGAUAGAAGUAGAAACAAUGAACUUCAGAGAAGUGUCCCAGAAUUGAAUGUUAGAGGACAUGUAGAUGAAACGAUGAAAGAAGGGGAGGCAUAUGCCAGACAGAAGGGAGCGCAUGAACAAAGACUUGGAGAUGGAAAACUUGAGAGUCUAAAGCUGAGUGUAGGAAGGAGACGGAUGGAUCCAGAGGAGGUUGGAAGGCCAAGACAGACAGGAAAAGAAAUGCUGUCCUCAGUUCAGGAGCAUAAACUGUGUCUGAAAGAUGUAAUGGGAGAUACCAAAGGGUGAGGCUAGGCAAAAACAGGGCUCCUUGGCAUGUUGGAAAGUCCACUGGGAGAAGCAAGUGAACGGUGGAGGGAGAGCUCAGGCUUGGACUACUGAAGACUUCCGUGGUGAUCUGGACAGAGACAGGAGGACCCCAGCUCAGCCCAGCAGGGCCAGGAACAGGGAAGAAUUUCACCAAAAAGAUAACAGAAAAUAGAUGAGCAGGUGGAAGUAGAAAUGAUGAACUCUGGAGAAGUAUCCAAGCACUGAAUGUUAGAGGACAUGUAGAUGAAACGAUGCAAGAAGGGGAGGCUGUGAACUGCAUCCUGGAACAGAUCUCUCUCACUCUUUGUCUAUCCAACCACCUAUCCAUCCAUCCAUCCGUUCAUCCAUCCACCCACCAAUCCACCUAUCCUUCCAUCUAUGUAAGUGGGAUUUUGGGGAAAUUGUCAUAAUUUGAAUACAUCCUGUAGAUUAAAAAAUAGUAUUGUAUAAUCCUUCAUUUCCUAGUUUCAAUAAUUAUACUCUGUUUUUUUUCUAAAUUGGUUUUAUCGGUACAUUUUAGAUAUACAUAAUAAUAACAUUCAUCAUAGGAAUUUGUACCCAUAUAUAAUGUACCUUGAUUCUUCUUUUUCCCCAGUCCCCUCCCCUCCCCUUCAACCCCUCUUAUUCCCCUCCUUAUUUACAAAAGCUUUGUUUCCAUUUUUUCAAAGAUGGCUCCUUUGUCAAAGAUAAGGUGGCUGAGUGUGUCUGGAGUUGUUUCUGCACCUCUAAUCUGUUUCUUUGAUCCUUGGGUCUGUUUUUUUGCCAGACCAUGCUGGGUUUUUUGUAAAUCAUGGUAGCUUUAUAGUAUAAUUUCAAGUCAGGGACUGUGAUGCUCCCUAUCUUGCCUUUGUUGCCCAGAGUUGCUUUUGUUAUCCUAGGUCUCUUCUGGUUCCAAAUGAGUUUUAGUACUGUUUUCUCUAAUUCUGUGUAUACUCUGAUUUUAUAAUAGAAUAUUCUUGUUCUUAGGAAAUCCUGGGAAAUAUGGGUGAAAAAUAUUUUGGAAUUUUUUAUUCUCAAACUUCCUGUGCAUUUCAGGUUAUUUCAAAUUAUAAGUGUUACUAGAAUUAUGUAUAUAAUUUUAAAACAAAUUGAGAGGUAUGUGCCUUAAAAAAAAAUAGCCAUUCUGUGAAAUCAGAUUGAAAUGAAUGCACACUGAAAACUGGCCAAGGUCCCAGGGAAUGUUUGUGUCAGGGCUGGCCCAGCUCCAGGAACAAAAGGCACAGAGGGCUUUGGGUUUCGCGUCAUUUCCAGUAACAUGAAGGCCACACACCUUCAGUGUGGCAAUAAUAUAAAAACCCUCAGGUGCUCCAGUCAGCACAGGUCCUGGUGUUGUGGGCUAUCAGGAUCUGGCGCCUGUCCAGUGUCACCGUGAUUUCCUGGAUGGCUCUCAGGAGUUUCCCGCUUUCUCUAGCACUCUGGGAAGGUAGGCAUCUUUUUUUUUCUUUUAUCAGUAGAGUUUUCUUUUUUGCAUGAUUUAUAGGGAGUAAGGUUACCCAAUAUGCUUUGAUACUUGCUUAUUAAACACAAAAAAUUCUCUAUGUGCAUCUGUUUAGUGACAGCAGGAAAGCAAAAUGACUUCAGUGGGCCCUGGACACUCUCACCUUUUGGAGGCCUUCUCACCAUAAUAUGAAUAUUUAAAAUUAUUUCUAUACAACUUUAAAUAUUUCAGCUUUUUUCUGUUAUAGGCAAAAUUUAAUAGUUUUUAUGUACCUUAAAAGUUUUAUCUGUUUCUAUUGUGAGAAGAAACUCUUUGGCUCUAAACCUUUAUUUUUUUUAUUUUGAUUUCAAAAGAAAUUCAAGCAUCCUCAUGGGCCUCUAAAAUUAAUCUGUAUCCUAGGCUUUCUGGCUGAUAUACCUAAUGCAUAGUCAGUCCUGAUAUGCAUUAAGUUUUGAAUUAUUUAGACUCUUUCUCUACAUCUUGAAAGAAAACAUAAUAUUUGAAUUGAUGUAGGCAUUUAGUAAAAUUAUAACAUAUUUUACAUGUCCAAUUCAGUCUAAUUUAGUCUAAUUUAUAGACUAAUCUAGUCGACUUUAUAGACCUAUCAGGAUAUAUGCUCAUAUUCACUUACAAUGCACAUAUUGCAUCACGAGUACCAAAGCUGGAAAUUUUUGCAUAUUAACAUUGAACCAGGCAGCCUGUGUGUUUCCCUUGGUAUCUGUUGAGAGAGGCCCAGGCAAGGAUCAUUUCCUAUCCCCCUGGCAUAGGAAGACCCCUGGGACCCUAGACCAUCCCAAGAGCUUUGGCUAUCAGAACACUGUGCUUUGCCAAAAGACUUUCUCUACUUGCUUUUUUUUCCCCUUUGUUGGCAUUAAAAUGUUUUUCUUUUUUUAAAUAUAGGAUAGCUCUGUGAAAUAGUCAAUGGUUCUAUUGCGUCUUUCAGAAAAUGUAUUCUGUUUAUGAAAUUAUACUUUAUAUUAUCACAGAUGAUACUGUAAAAUCAAGUAGAAGAAAAUAUGCCAUAUGGACAGCUAAUGUAAGUUUUUAAAAUUAUGAAUAUUAAUCUUUAUGCGAAAAUUAUUCAAAAUAGUCAAAGUGAAAGGCAAUGCAAAGGAUGACCUAAUAUUAAGUCUUCUAUUUUCAGUCAUCUGUUUCUGCAAAUUAGGACAUCUCAAACCAUUAUAUUUGAAUUUUAAAAGUAUCUAGCAGAGCUGCACCUUUCAGUAAGCUCAGUCUCUGUCUCCUUGUUGUUCUUGCUGGUUCCAUUGGUCCAAGAACAAGCACAAUACCAUGCACCCUGACAGCACUGAAGGAAACAUUCUCCCACACCUUCCCCUGCCAAGCCUAAGUGCUGAGAGUGACUCAGAGUGGAUCCAGCUGUAAAGAUCAUGACAUCAUGUACAGCUUUCAAAAGUGCUGGGUUACUUUGCUUCUGCAGAUACAGAUCUCCUGCAUGCUGAGUGUACAGCGGAGAAAAGAUCAGCAAGAAAACAGCAUCUAAGGAACUUAACAUAGCACUGACAUCUGUGUCCUUUUAGCUAACAGGACAUCCUGGCUCCUGAAGUCCAGAGCCAUGGUUUCAUUUACUUGACAUAAGAAGAUGAUGAACACACUCCAGGGAGCUGGGUGGUCUGACAUUCUGCACAGUGAAGGCAACUAGAGAAGCAGGAGAAAGUUUCUUGAACAAUAAUGGAAUCUGAGUGGGGAAUUAGGCAAGUGAAGCAGCUCUAGGAGGUGUGGGCCAACCCCACAGCUGGACUCAGGUGUCCUGGACUCACUAUCACCAGACACCUGGGUCCAGAGGCCAUCCUACAUGGGACAAAAAUGUGACACUAUUAUCACAGAGUACUUUUGUGAGGACAUGUAAAGUUGUUUUUAAGUUUUUAAAUAAUCAUACAGAUAUUAUUUUCAAAUUAUAAUUACAAAAUUAUAUACAGGUUAUAAUUUUUUUAAAUCUUCUAUGGAAAUUUCUAAACCUUUUAUUAAGAACACAGAACUGCUACAGAGUGAAUUUACAGACCAAUGAGCAUACUGAAGCUCAGGUUGAGGCCCUGAUUUUCCUGGAGUGCAGGGGCGAAUGAAUGGGAACUCUUGCUGUUCUUGUCAGCCUGGUAAAGUUUAUCUGAGUAGUAACUAAAUAGUAAGGCCAUGCAGAAGCACAGACAAAAGAUGAAGGUCAAGACUAGUUGGGAUGUGCAGUUCUAAGUCUGAGCUGCUCGAUUCCAUGCAGGACACCUGCCCAGGCUACACGCUGUGAUGUAGACAUCAUAAGGUUUGGACUGGCCAGGAUAGAAGAUGUCUUAAUGAUCUUGGGUCUACAAUACUUGGGUCCCUACUGCUUCCUGCUGCUGUUUAUUUUUAAGAGCUUAAUGAGAUUACACUCAUGCUUAACCAAGGCCUAAGCACAUGACUAUGCGGUAGCACCAACUGACAAACAGGCUCCAAAGACAUUGCCUCUCUUCUUUGGGUCUGACUCCUCUUCAUUCUACCAAAGCAAACCAUGCAGCCUGCUCAGGGCGAGGUCUGCCCUCGGGAGAGAUCUCACUACAACCUCCACUCUCCCAGGUGAGACACUAGCCUAAGUACAUUGAGUGGUAGGAUUAAGAGGACUCUAAAUUAGUAACCAUGUUUAGUAAACAAAAUAACAAUUCUCUUCACGAAUGCUUUUCAUAUCUAAAAGAUAAAUAAACUUUCCCAUAGGUUGUAAGAGUGGAUAUUACGUAUUAUUAGGAAAUAUGAUACACAAUUAUGGGAUGGAAACAGAAAUCUGCAGAUCUCCUUUUCCUUUAACUGGAAAAAGCUUGGCUUCUGAAAUAACUUUAAAAGUGAUAUUAAAUAUUUUUGAAAAAUAUUUCUGACUCUCUCAAUAAACUCUUGAAAGCAUAAGGAGGAUUUGAGCUGUGGAAUGAAUGAAGGUGGGGUUGAAAAGAGGUAAAUAGGCUAUUGGAGCUGGGCAAAUGCCAAAUCCAUCAAAAGUUUGCCAUCAGUUUUCUCUUCCUCCUAGGGGUAAGAAUAAAGAAGACAACGUCCAAGGCCUACCUUAAAAAGGAGUCUAGCAGUAUGACCUGCCCUCACAAACGCUCUGAAGAAAAGCUUUUGUCCUUAACCUGAUCUGUCAAGAACCAAUCAUCCCUUGGACCGCUACUUCUCCACCUGUGCUGCUCCAAGCAAAUCUGCAGUCCUAGCCUAGCUCUUCCACUCAGGGAACUUAUUUUUCCAUUUUGACUUUGACUUUUCACUCCUGGCCCUAUUCACUCUUCUCUCUCCAGAAUUGGAAAGCUAGAGUCUUCUCCAACUCAUUUCUUACAAUUGGUGGGUACUGCUAUCAAAACUGACAAACACCAUUCCCAGAAUGAAAGUCUUGUGGGAAUUGUGAUUAUGAUAAUAAAAGCAAAAAAUUACUUAAAAACAUAGUGUUAGGACAGGUGGCUAAAUCCCCGGCCCCCAACACAAGGUUUUGAUUGAGUAGGGAGGGGUAGGGGAAAGGAAAGAAGGAAAUGGAAUUAAUAAGAGAAAAUGAAAAAAUGGAAACAAAGUCUUUGUAAAUAGGGAGG